AUUCGUGAAGCGUUCCAUAUUUUUUCUGUUCUUAUCAGUUUAAUAUCUGAUACGUCCUCGAUGAGAGGACUUUAUAUUAAACGGAUUUUUGGGCUCGGGAGUUGGACCCGGAGCUUGCUCCCUCCGCUCCGCGCAUCGUCCCGGUAUGGCAGUGCUUCCGGGUACGGUGCACCUCCC
rnacentral:snRNA from 1 species